rnacentral:sRNA from 1 species
UUCCCAUGCGCUUGAGCACGCGGCUUUUUUUUUAUUAUUUGUGAUUUCGCGCUUAAUAAAAUAAUAAUAAUACGAAUUAGCAAUGGGUGAUUAGUGUUUAAAUGUGUUUUUUAUUGUUUUCAAAGCAUACAUAGGUUUUUGGUCGCGUCGCUUAAAUCUCGUGUGUGUGUGUGUGUAAGUGAAAUGCGCAGCAGCCCAGCAAAGGGUUUUUUGUUGUUUAUUUUGAUUAAAACAAUAAAAAGCGGUUAAAUAUGAAUAUUUAGUGGUUUUGUUGAAAUAAAGUGUGCUUUAUUUAAUGUAAAAUGAUCAACACACGUGAAAUUGUGAUGGCGCAAGGGGCCUGUAUGUAAUAACUGUGUAUAUAUGUACAUAUGUACAUAUAUACAUAUGUACGCCCUUUACGUAUUAAGUGUGUAUUUGCGUAUAAAAUCAAUCUUCCAACCACUUGAAGGUUGAUUUUCAUCAUCUUUUGGCACAGAUGGUUAAUAUUACAUUUGUCACAAUAUAUGGAGAGCCAACCAUAGAAACUCAUUCAUAGUCUGUGCAUCAUCGACGACGACGACUGCCCCGGCAUCAGGGGGCAUCAAAGUGGAAUUGGAUUCAUCUGGAAGAGGCGGGUCAUAAUUGAAGAUAUGAUGCUCCAUGCCCCAUGCCCCAUACCCCAGCCAUGAGCAAAGGUGACACCAAAGGGAAGACCUUCGACUGGCAAUAAAAUAAAUGCCAUUUACUGAUGAGUCAUCAGCAUAAUUUUUACGAUUUGUCCCAUUCGAUGAAUAAACAAAUAAACCAAUGGACACGGGAGCUGGGACCCGGGACUCAGGACCCUCUGGAUUGGACUCUAGUUUGAGCGUGUCACGAAAACAUUUCGCAUGCAUUGACUUUUUAUGGCAGCCCCAAACCGAGUGAACCGAACGCACGAAUCGAAAAGCCACAUGGACCGACGAGAGAGAGAGGCGGAGAGGGGCACACAGAGAGGGGUAUCCACAAAUAAUGCAAAAUCAUUUAGUGGAACUCCUAGGCACACACACCGUACAGAUGCUCGCACCCCCCUCCCGCCUCAAAGUCAUAAAAUCCGGCACCGAAUGAAAUUCUCAUCAAGACGCAAGUUGGCACAAUUUCAGUUUGGCGCUGAAGCAACUUGAAAACACGACCAAAAUGAGCCCGAAUCGCAGUAGGAGUCGUUGCCACAGCCCACAGGACUCUCGGCAGUGGUCAGGCAUGGGGCCAGCAUCGUGCUGCUGCCGCUGCCGCUGCUACUCCUGCUCCUGGCAAUCGCGCGUGACUAACGUAAUCAGCUCACGUAACGCCUGAAUGAGAUGAGAUGAAAUCAGCAUACACUCCGGGCCACGCAGGACUAUGCUCUCCUACGCUGCCGUCGCUCCGCACCGAUUCCGACUGCAUAAAUGUCGAAUUUAUACGAAAAUGAAGCGGCGCAGGCCAUUCGACCAGCUGCUGGGGCAUCAUUCACACGGCCACCAGAUGCUUUGAGGGCAAAACGAUCGCUGGAGCUGGGGAUCUUGGGAGCUUAAAGGAGGGACAAUGGAGAGAUCUAUAAAUGGGAUUCUUGGACAUUAACGAAAGAGGAGAUUUGUAAAUGGGAACCUUUUGGAAGCCUAUAAGUUAUAUCUAAUCGUAUCUACUGGCAGGAAUCAAGUACUUAUAUGAUUACUGCCUUCGAACAAGCGAGCAGAGCGGAUUCCAUUUAAAUGCAAAGACCUAUCAUUAGACUCUUACAUCUACAAUUCCCCAACGCCCGCGCGCGAGAGAGAGAGAGAUCAACAAUUGUGGUGGCUUCAGCGGCGAUUUAAGCGCUGGGCACACGCAAUCCCCCUGCCCCGUCUAUGGAGAGCCUGCCCUAUAAAGUAGAUUUGCAUGCGACGCCCCAGAGACCCCUCUUGGCUGUGGGGCGGGGGGCUGGCAUCCCCAAUUGAAUGGGGGACUGGCGCGAAUCCGUUGAUGUGAUGACAGGAGUGGCUGCAAAUGGGGAAAAACGCACAGAACACAAGAUAUCUCUGGCAUGUCGUCCUAGCAGGCUGUUUACUGAAGCCUCCGCUGAAGUACUGCUGAAUAGGGGCUGUAGAAGCGACUCAGGAAGGCCGUCGAAUCUAAGACCUGGAAAUUAUGAUUGUUACCCAGCCAGCAGCUCAGGGCAAAGCUGUUGUCCGGAUGUUUAAUGCGUGGCAUUUCGAUUCCUACCCACGUCCACCACGCGGCACAGGUUCCUAUUGAGGUUGUGGAGAUUCUUCUGUCCAUCCACCAUCCACCGAUAGCUGGUGUAGGCAAAGGGAUCGUGGCUUCCAGCAGAAGAAAGGCAGUGAUGUCCUGCUCCAAGCUCUGCAAGCUAAUAGGUCCAUGCACUUCAGAAUAGCGUUGAUCGCCAGGACCACGGUAUACGGUGGCUGAAUGUAGAACGGCCUCACGGACAUAGGUUCCUCCAGCAUUUUCCGAGAAUACUGCAGGACUAACGGCUCCGAAAAUGGCAAUUUCCAUUCGAGAGAGAUCGUAGCGGGGGUCCAAGAAGGAACAGAGUAUCUGUUUUUGGAUGAUUAUCGAGUCUUUAAGUCUUAAUCCCAAGGAUUACUGUACACUCGGAGAGCCAAGAAUCCUAACAACUGCAUUACAUUGAAUGCCCCGCCCGAAGGCGACUAAAUUUAGUUGGGAAAUUUAUGGCAAUUGCUCAAGCAAAGCAUUAAUCCCAUUUAAAUGUCCUCCGACUUGUGGAAUCAACAGGCGGUUGCAACACAAUCACAACCUAAUGCAUCCGCCGAGGCAGAGAGUGAGAGAGAGCGAGAGAGAGAAAGGAAGGAAGGAUGUACCAGAGCUGCAGUCGGUCGUCCCCCUCCUGUUUUCUGGGGGGUUCCUAAUGUAUGAUUAUGUCCGAAACACAAAGCAUACGCCAAGGACAACGAGGAGGAGGUGGCAGAGUGUGGAGUGCGGAGUGUGGCUGGCGAUUGGUCAACGAGGCGAGGCGAGGCGAGGCGAGGCGUUGUGUUGCAUCCUCCAUGUAAGCAAAGUACCGUCCGCCCGGUUCAGCCCCAUUUAUUUGCAUCCGAAAUUUGCACAUGUUCAAAUCGAGAUUUACGACGGCGAGUGACAUCAUUAAUCAAGCGCCUGAUUGGUGAUCCUGUUCCUGUUAAUUAAUACAAUAAUGGAUUGCGUGGCUUCUACCAGGGGACGACUCUCUUCGGAGUCCUUCGAAAGACGACAAAAGGCUGCUGCUUCGCAGGAUUUACGGCAAACGGAGAAGGCAAGUGCGCACCGCAAGUGCGUGUAGCCGGCCAAAAAGGAUAAAAGCUAGAACUUACAGGACAGCAAAGGAAAAAAGACUAACGCAUCUCCUUCCACCGCCUGAAACAUUGAUUUAAAAUUUACAACGGUCAUGGCAAAGGUUGCUGCAACAUGGCCAUAUGUUGCAUUGAUUUAUCAUUGGGAUAGGCGAUGUGGCAGCCAAAAUGGAAAUCUGUUGCAGCUGCUACCGGUACACUGUCUCCUAGAUAAAUUCUCAGCCAAAACAAAACAUCAGAGCAGGUGAUGGGAUGGGAUGGGAUG